rfam:Triticum aestivum genome assembly, contig: Triticum_aestivum_CS42_TGACv1_scaffold_131080_2BL
CAAGUACUCCCUCCGUCCGGAAUUACUUGUCAUCAAAAUGGAUGUGUCUAGAACUAAAAUACAUCUAGAUACAUCCAUUUCAAUGACAAGUAUUUUCGGACGGAGGGAGUACAAU